rnacentral:rRNA from 1 species
UACGAAGGGGGCUAGCGUUGUUCGGAAUUACUGGGCGUAAAGCGCGCGUAGGUGGUUCGUUAAGUUGGAUGUGAAAGCCCCGGGCUCAACCUGGGAACUGCAUUCAAAACUGACGAGCUAGAGUAUGGUAGAGGGUGGUGGAAUUUCCUGUGUAGCGGUGAAAUGCGUAGAUAUAGGAAGGAACACCAGUGGCGAAGGCGACCACCUGGACUGAUACUGACACUGAGGUGCGAAAGCGUGGGGAGCAAACAGG